AUGUUGUUCACCACACCAUCCUAGACAAUAUCCGCAAAAAAAAACUUUGAUCCCAAUUAUGUCUGGGUUCACCCAUUUUUUCCCGCUAUUUGACUAAGCUAUUAUACUAAGUAAGUAGUUUUAUUUAGGUUAAGUAACUAUAGGUCAAGGUCAUUGACCUAGGAUUCUAUAUCCAAUAAUUUUUAUGGUACACUUAUGGGCUAAGACAUUGACCUAGUAUAUUAUAAAAUUAUAGGAUAUAGAACAACAACAACACUUCCUGGUGAAGGUCAUCAACCUAGUGUCUUAUAAAAACUUUUGUAUAGGUGUCACUAUAAGACACUCCAACAACAACAAACUGCAACUGCAACAACAACAACAAACAACAACAACAAACUGCAACUGCAACUGCAACAACAACAACUAUAAUGCAGGUGUCUUAUAGUGACACCUAUACUACUUGUGUUUGUAAGCAUUAUCCAAUGCACAAAAUUCCAAAAUUACCAGUUUUUGAAAUCAAAAUCCAAAAAUAAAUCAAAGUAGGUCUAGGUACCUAUUCAAGUAUUGUGUUUUCUGCACAACUCAGCGGUUUUCCCAAAAGAAAUUUUUUUCUGUUGAGUACAUGAAUUUUGAGUUGAGUGAAAAAUAUGCCAAUAGGUUUUUAAUAGAUAUGCCUAUGAACUUCAACCAAAAUUUUAAAUUUCCAAAUCAAAAACAAAAUCCUCACAACAUUUGACCCCCUUCAUUGCAAUUUUGUAAUGAUAUAAACAUUUUUCUUUUAUUUAAAAACUCUAAAAAGUUGUUAAAAAACAAGAACAGUUACUUACUUACGGCUAAAUGUUGUGUUUUAGAGCACCUAUUACCUGAGUACCUAUUAAUUUUUUUCUUUGAGAAUCUUAGAACUUUUUUAGAAUAUUAAAAGUUUAGAUAGCAGUAGCACCAACUGUACUGAACAUUUAUUUAAAGUUGAUUUUUGUAAAAUCUAACUGUUUUUUAGGGUGUUUCAAAAAGUACAAGGUACAAUAACAUUAUUGUGAACAAUUUCUGAGAAGGCAAACGAGUUCAAGAAUCAACUGUCUAAAAAGAGUCAUUGAUUUGGAGUUCACUUUUAUUACCUAAGUACAUACAUUUAAAAAGUUUUAAAAGAAUUGAGUUGGAACUCUCUUCAAAAUCAGUCGAAUCAACUGGUCUGAGGAGUAGAUUCAUUUUCAAAAGGAGUUAGCUCAACCCGGCCCCAGAACAAUCAAAAUUAACUUGAGCACAAAUUGUUGAAAAUGUAAGUAGGUAAAAUUGAUACAACAUGGUCUUGGUAAUCGUCGUUUAUUGUAGCCUUUGCCUUAUUCAGGAGGAUCAAUCUCGGAAGGAAUCAGAAAUCCGUCCUUAUCUCGAUCCAGUUUGAUGACCUCUGCAACAAUAUCAGCUCUCGGAAUUGUUAAUUUCAUAACAUUGGUCAUGUAGUCUAUCGAUUCAUGCAAAUUGAGUCUACCAUCAUGAUUUCUGUCCGCGUGCUUCAUUAUGUAAUCCAUGUGAGACAGGUUUUCUUUGCUAUAUAUGGUACCUCUUCUUGUUCUAUUUUGCGUUGCGGCACUACAAUUAGUAUCACACUUUCCUGUUCGACAUGGUCCUCGACAAUAGCAUCCAAAGGCAUUACAACCUUUUAAUGAACAAAAAGGAGUACUUGCAGUACAGUCGCCGCAUAUGCCAUAAGGAACAUUAUUAUAAGUACCUUCACAGCCUGCCGUACAACAGUGGCUAUCUGCCCAAUCGAAACAUGAGAAACACAAUACAAUAAUAACAGAAAAACUGAUAUACGAACACAUUUCAAUAUUUGAGUGUUUAAAAAUACAACACAAAAGAUUAAUGUAACACCAAAUUGAAUAAAAAGAAAAGAUUGAACAGCAUUCUCUUAAAUGACCAAUUAUAUAAGUGUAGCGAUUCAUAUCGUUACUCAUUGCAACUUGCAAUAUACUAGCGGUAGAGUUGUCCGCCCCACCUACCCAAUAGUUUCAAACGCGUACCUGUGUAAAACCAGCAUAUUAACCAAAUUAAUUGAUUAAAACGGAUUAAAUCGGCCAAUACUUGUUUGUUGGUUUCUGAGAAGAAAGAUUUUGAGUGCUGCCAACGGUUUUUAACUCAAAGGUCAAAAAUAUAGGAAAUAGGCAUAAACAAAGCGUAGGUAGCCGAUAUGUAAGUAUGUACGUAUGCCUGCAUUCUGCAGAUUUCAUGCGAAGUCCAACUGGUCAAGUAAUUUAUGAAGAGCGGGAGUGGAGACUGGAGAGUAUGGUGCUGUUUUUCUUCAUGGAGUUCACCCAAUCCGACGACAUGAAUUUCGAGUACCUAAUUGAGAAAAUGGGAAUAUCUUCAACAAUAAGUAAUAAUGAACAUUGCUGUGCGACUCAACUCGAAAUUGUGACCACAUUUACCAGAUUUCGAUACUUUAUGAUAUUACCACAACAUCUGCAGCCGAAAUACAUACUUUCAUCAGUUCAAUCCACGUAUGACUGGAAUCUCAGGUGCACAAACAGGGAUUUGCACAGUUGAAGGAUUUCAAUUAAACGUUUCACAUACGUAGCUCUUACAACACUUCAAGCAAUUAUUAUAAUUUCGACCGUCAAAAGGAACUUUAAAAUUUGAAAAAUUUAUAGCAUUCGAUCUAAUAAUACUGUAAAUAUAAUGAUAUUACGUACCACUUGGUGAUACUUGCAUAAGCUGAAUACUCUGAGAAUAUUACUUACCCCGGCCAAAGGCUAUAUCAAUUAUAUCACACAAUGAGUAAAAUGUAGUCACGUGUAAGACACUUUGUAUUAAACGUAAAAGAAUAAACACAAUUAAAUACCUUUGAAGAAGGUUUUUAGUAUCAACACGAUACUUUACACUUAA